GUUAGUGGGUUAGGCGAAGGGGUUAGGUUGAGGGGAAGGGGUUAGAGUUAGGGUACGUGUCCUAACCCUAACAUACUAGGGCACAUACACACCUACCAUGCUAGGGUUAGGGUUAGGCGAAGGGGUUAGGGUGAGAGUUAGGACACUCAAAGGAAAUAAGAUAAAACAAGUAAAAAUAUUACACCAAGCAAUCAAACUUACAUAUAAAUAGUCGAUCGGAGACUUGGAAUACUUCCAACCGCACUAUAAUUGCAAAAAUAACAUAUUUAUAGGUAAUAAGUAACAACGGUCGGAAACGAAACGGGUAGCCAUGAGAGUAGGCUUAGUCAUGGAAUAUAAAAUAUAUUGAAUAAAUGUAGCAUCUUAUUUCGACAAAGGUAUAUACAAAUUGAAUAGAGAAUUUACAAGAGUGCUAGCAGGGAGCAAAUAAGCGCCGUUAAUUAUAUAAAUUCAGCCCGCUGCUUUUGAUGGUGGCCGUGAACAUGUGGGUGAUCGACGCGUGGUUGGCGGCUCGCGUGUACAAUGAAUUAAUUCUGUAAUUGAUCCGGUCGCUUGCACUGUUGCUGCGGAUCUUGAGCGUUUCACCGACCGUUCGAUGGUCCAUAUUUUCGUCUGAACUGCACUUGAAAUAUUCAACAAUGCAGAGAACAGGAGUCCGAACUUGAUGAAUCGAUGCUCGAUAAUGGCGUCGUUGCGCGCGAGCCGGCGAGAAGACCACUGUUCACGCGUUCACCUAGAUGGACGACUCCCGAUCGAUAAAUCGAUCGACCGUGACCGCCAUCAUGGCUACGCGUAUUCUCAAACGUAUGCAACAAUAAAACAAACAGUUAGUUAGAAAGAUAACUUGGAAUGUAGAAAGUAGGGCAUAGGAAAUAAUAGUUUAUUUAAAUAUGGAGAAGCAACUAUACGCAAAUUGGUGAAAUUGCCGGUAUAUACAUAAGAAACCUUGCUCUAAAAUCAAAAAUAGGUAAAUAUACUUCCUAUGUCUAUGCCCCAGACCCGAAAUCGUAGCAACGCCCCCUUUUAGUCGCCUCUUACGACAGGCAGGGAUUACCGUGGCUGUAUUCUAAACCCCCAGCCACAGGGGAUAAAUUGACUUUUCCGAAGACAAACUUUCCGCAUACCGUACAUACAUACAUUCGAAGACCGACCUUUCCGCGAAAUACUCUUUUCCGAGGCAAAGUUUUCGUGCGUUGAAAACUCUAUAUAUUCCUUAUUCUAUGUCUCCACUCAAUUUGCAGAUCGAUCCUAAUGGGUUAUAGUCCAGUCGCCAAAAAUCCUUCUUGGAAUCAUAAUUUUUAUUAAAAAGAAGAAGACUAUUCCCAACAAUUUCGGCCAAUUUGAAGCAUUAAGGUUUUACGAAGUACAGCCAGAAAAGAUGUGAAUGUAUAUGAACGUUUCCCCGUCAAGAAAUACUGCUUUAUUUACCUAAUUUUACUCGGUGAAGGAACCGGAGCGUGUUCAGCGAUGACAGGUAAUACAGAAAUGAAUUUAUCAGUUGGACGUAGAAGACGCGCUGUACGAGAUGACAAUUUCCAUAUCAGUCUUUGUCUGUGAGGAGUUUGUUCUUGGGCGUUAUAUUUGCUUAAUACAGCACCCACAGCUUCGUGCGUAGAAAAGAAACUUGUAUCUGAAAUCUAAACAAAAAUAUACCAAACAAAUGGUUAUUAACUUCUUACUUAGAUUUAUCAAUUUACUACGGAUACCUGAUAGUCAUCAGAUUAUUGUAAUUUUACCUUACAUAAUUUCUGAAGUUCCACUGCAAAUUCUAAAACUCUAAGCAUCUGAUGCUUUCUUGUUGUUGUUACAGAUGUAUUGAUGGCAGAGGAGCUAGAAGUAACUGUUACAGAUAUGGUGUGGUCUGUAUUAGUAUCCAAUCGAUUAACAGCAUUAUCUAAAUAUAUGCACAGUAGAACGAGUGCCACUUCUGACGGCUUCAAGCUGGCACAAUUACCGUCGCAAGCAACCAUUUCUAACCUCAGAAGAAGCUCUGAUUCCUGAAAUAACAUAAAUUACAAAUCUAUCUUUAUGCAAAUUUAAAAACAGAAGAAAAAAACAUGACACUCACUGUGAUCAUACUGGUAUACGCUUCUCCUGAUCCUAGUUCAGUUGCAACGGUACGAAACAUUGCAUUGAAUAACCGAAGAAAAGUUAAGGAUGUAAUAGGUUGCGUACCAGGUGCCCAUUCCAACUUAUUCUGUAUCACUUCCGACAUACGUUUCAAAUCACCACCGGUACAUUUACACUGAGAAAUGGAAACUAAGUGAUCGGCAUCUAAAGACUGUGCCAACUGAACUGCAGCUAUGUGAAAAGCGGAUACACUGAUGCAAGCCAUAUGUUUUGGUCUUGCUUUCAUCUUUGUUAAGAAACGAUCCAUCAAAUUGAUGGCAACAAAAAAUACGUCGGAUGGUAGAUCGUACCAUACUUUCAAGCAUCUUAGCACGUGAGCCGAUCCAUCACGAGCUCCGAUUGUUAUUUCCUCGGUCUAAAACGGAUCGACAUCAUGUUUAUAUCAACGAGAGAACAAGAUAUAAUAUUAUAGUAACGAGACUAUUAAAUAUUAAGUUAUUUCGUAUUGUCAACGCUUCUUACUUGUGACAUAGUAGGUAACUGUAGGUUAGGUUGAUAUUUCACUUCAAGAACCAAAGCUUCCUGCAAUUGCUCGAGUAAAGGGUGGAUUGCAUCCGGUACAGGCAAGCCCGAUGUGCCCAUUCCUGCAAUGUGUGACUUGCAGCUCACUACUACAGCAACGAUGAAAGAAUAAAGAAGAACACAAAAUGUGUAGUGUGGCUGAUGAUAUGAAUGUCACACAACAAGAAUGGCGCAGCUGGCUAGCCUUGUAUCUACAAAAAAAAAAAAAAAUAAGUAACAUUAAUAUAGACAUACUUGUACAAGACGAUUUCAUUUUAAUAUAUACAUAUAUAUUAUUCAUUUUGUUAUUAUUACUGAUUUACAAUAAUGGCAAGAACUAUUUAAAUACGCUUCAACAACUUUACUCCAAAAAAGUGGUAUUGAGAAUAAUAGAUACUAUAAGUAUGUAUAUGUACAACGUUUUCGUAAUGUAACAUAAAAUUCAUAUUUUUCACCUAAUCAUUAACAAUUUGCUGUGUCAAUGUUGAAAUUUAUUUACUAUAAACAACAUUUUCUUCAUCUUUUUUUCGUGUCUACGUGUUCGUAAUCAGGCGCCGUCAAAUAAGAUGGCCAAAAAUUUAAAGGAAUUUAAUUGAAAAAAAAAAAAAAGAAAAAUAAU